GUUAAAAAGCUCGUAGUUGGAUUUCUGUCGAGGAAGAGCGGUCCGCCUAUCUGGCGUGUAUCAGAGCCUUUCCUUGGCAUCCUCCAGGGGAACGUAUCUGCUCUUCACUGAGUGGUGCGGAAUUCUGGACUUUUACUUUGAGGAAAUUAGAGUGUUCACAGCAGGCAAUCGCCUUGAAUAUAUUAGCAUGGAAUAAUAAUAUAGGACCCUGGUUCUAUUUUGUUGGUUUCUAGAACCAAGGUAAUGAUUAAUAGG
rnacentral:rRNA from 1 species